CUUCCGUAAGGGGAACCUGCGGAAGGAUCAUUAAAUAAUCAAUAAUCUUGGCUUGUCCAUUAUUAUCUAUUUACUGUGAACUGUAUUAUUAUUUGACGUUUGAGGGAUGUUCCAAUGUUAUAAGGAUAGACAUUGGAGAUGUUAACCGAGUCAUAAUCAGGUUUAGGCCUGGUAUCCUAUUAUUAUUUACCAAAUGAAUUCAGAAUUAAUAUUGUAACAUAGACCUAAAAAAUCUAUAAAACAACUUUUAACAACGGAUCUCUUGGUUCUCGCAUCGAUGAAGAACGUAGCAAAGUGCGAUAACUAGUGUGAAUUGCAUAUUCAGUGAAUCAUCGAGUCUUUGAACGCAACUUGCGCUCAUUGGUAUUCCAAUGAGCACGCCUGUUUCAGUAUCAAAACAAACCCUCUAUCCAACUUUUGUUGUAUAGGAUUAUUGGGGGCCUCUCGAUCUGUAAAGAUCUUGAAACCCUUGAAAUUUACUAAGGCCUGAACUUGUUUAAUGCCUGAACUUUUUUUUAAUAUAAAGGAAAGCUCUUGUAAUUGACUUUGAUGGGGCCUCCCAAAUAAAUCUUUUUUAAAUUUGAUCUGAAAUCAGGUGGGAUUACCCGCUGAACUUAAGCAUAUCAAUAAG
rnacentral:rRNA from 1 species